rnacentral:rRNA from 1 species
GAACGCUAGCGGCAGGCUUAACACAUGCAAGUCGAGGGGCAGCAUGAGACGGAGAUUCGUCAAAGUCUUGAUGGCGACCGGCGCAAGGGUGCGUAACGCGUGAGCAACUUGCCCUUAUCAGGGGGAUAACCGUUGGAAACGACGACUAAUACCCCAUAGUAUCAAUUUUAGGCAUCUUUAAUUGAUUAAAGAAUUUCGGAUAAGGAUAGGCUCGCGUGACAUUAGCUAGAUGGCGGGGUAACGCCCACCAUGGCGACGAUGUCUAGGGGUUCUGAGAGGAAGGUCCCCCACACUGGAACUGAGACACGGUCCAGACUCCUACGGGAGGCAGCAGUGAGGAAUAUUGGUCAAUGGUCUAACGACUGAACCAGCCAUGCCGCGUGAAGGUCACGGCCCUAUGGGUCUUAAACUUCUUUUGUAAGGGAGCAAUAAGUAUCACGUGUGGUAUGAUGAGAGUACCUUACGAAUAAGCAUCGGCUAACUCCGUG